rnacentral:sRNA from 1 species
UACACACCGCCCGUCACACCAUGAGAGUUGGUAAUGCCAGAAGUCGGUAUCCUAACCGCAAGGAGGGAGCUGCCCAAGGCAGGACUGAUGAUUAGGGUGAAGUCGUAACAAGGUAUCCGUACCGGAAGGUGCGGAUGGAUCACCUCCUUUCUAUGGAGUUUAAAUACUUCUAAGUAUUAAGGCUUUAGUGAUGUGUUAUGUUUAGUUUUGAGAGGUUAGUUCUCUCAGAUAGUAAUAAAAUCAAUACUCGUCAAACAGUAUUUUUAAAUUGCUAUGAAUUGUUCUUUGAAAACUGGAUAAUAGACAUCUAGUUAUAUAAAUUUAUUUAUAUAACAAAUUAACAAUCAAAUUUCUGUUAUUUUUAAAAUUAACUUUUAAAACUGAAAUUUCACAGUUAUCUAUUUGUAAAUGAUUCUCAAAACAAAAAAACCUUUGGUUAUUUAAACCAAUUGAUUGAUCAAAUUUGAAGUUACAAAGGGCGUAUGGUGAAUGCCUUGGGAAUAGGAGACGAUGAAGGACGCGACUACCUGCGAUAAGGUUCGGGGAGCUGGAAGUAAGCUUUGAUCCGGACAUUUCCGAAUGGGGAAACCCGGUGAGAUUAAUCUCCCAUCAUCCUAUAAUGAAUACAUAGUUAUAGUGAAGGUAUACCUAGGGAAUUGAAACAUCUCAGUACCUAGAGGAAAAGAAAGCGAAUGCGAUUCUCUUAGUAGCGGCGAGCGAAAGGGGAACAAGCCCAAACCAGAUUUAUCUGGGGUUGUAGGACCAUAUUAGUAGAGUUACAAAACUUGUUUAUAGUAGAAAUGGUUGGGAAACCAUGCCACAGAGGGUGAUAGCCCCGUAUACGAAAUAAACAAGUCUCGAAAUGGGAUCCUGAGUACGGCGAGACACGUGAAAUCUUGUCGGAAUCCACGCGGACCACCGCGUAAGGCUAAAUACUACCUAUUCACCGAUAGUGAACCAGUAC